rnacentral:rRNA from 1 species
GUGACGAAGCGACGCCGCGUGGGUGAGGAAGGCCCUCGGGUUGUAAAGCCCUGUCAGGAGUUAAGAAAUGUAAGUGCGCUAAUAUCGCAUUUAUUUGACGAAGGCUCCAAAGGAAGCCACGGCUAACUCUGUGCCAGCAGCCGCGGUAAUACAGAGGUGGCAAGCGUUGUUCGGAAUUAUUGGGCGUAAAGAGCACGUAGGUGGGUUUGUAAGUCAGAUGUGAAAGCCUUCUGUUCAACGGAAGAAUUGCAUCUGAAACUACAAGUCUUGAGUGUAGGAGGGGAGAAUGGAACUUCUGGUGGAGCGGUGAAAUGCGUAGAUAUCAGAAGGAACGCCGGCGGCGAAAGCGAUUCUCUGGCCUAUUACUGACACUCAGUGUGCGAAAGCUAGGGGAGCAAACGGGAUUAGAUACCCCGGUAGUCCUAGCCGUAAACGAU